rnacentral:lncRNA from 1 species
GCCCCGCGAGCUCCAUCUCGCCGGAUCGAGCCCAACAACCACCAGGAAUGGAGCAGGUGCUCCCGGUUCUGCCCAUCCCUUCCGGCGCCCCGCCGGAGCCUGAUGCCCCGACCUGCAUCCCCAACCUGCAUCCCUGACCUGGUAAAAGUGUUGCGUUUUCAGUUUUUGUUAUAUUCGCGAGCAGGUACGAUACAUCUAGCGCAACUCCUCUGUUUUAACACUAGUCCUUUGAUUGAUGAACAAUUAGGUUUGGGAUCGAAUCAUACCAGCCCCUAUAUUGUUUUCGCUAGGCUGGGCUUUGUUUCUGUUGUUUGCGUUGGAUCGGUUGUUCUUUUAUGAUAACUCUCCCAAUUGUUCACACAAUGCUUUGUUAUCUGAGAGGCAGCGCUGCUCAGAUCCAACCAUGGGGUCUUGGGUUCGAUCCCAGCUCACCCCAUUAUUUUGGUUCUUUCGUUUUUUUCUUCCUACUCUAGUGAUGUUACAAUCAGAUCUGAUGUAAUUCCACGUACCCCAUAUUCAUCCACCGGCAUAUGGGAACCCAGUAACCGGGAUCAUACCAUCAUUCUUUGGCAUGACACACUCACACUCACAAUUCGUUGGCAUCGGUAUCUCAUCGAGUUAUCACAACCGAAACGUUGCCCUAGCAUCGUUUCCGUUUUGCUUCCAUUGUUCCCUUUCCUUCGCCAUGGCGCCACAUGCUUCAUAUCCUUCUUGCCAGUGUUUCCAUAAAAUUGCAUGCAUGUUGCAUUCAUGGCAAAAUAUCUUGUGUUGCACGUAUCUGUUAACCAUAGCUCUGAUCAAAUGAGCUAUAUGUAUAAACCGACUAGAAUGAUGUGUAGAAUCACAUGCUUCACAUUUUUCCAUGCUUAAACAACAUUUAGUAUUUCCGUGUAUAUAAACGGGAGUGAACUAAAUACUUCAAAUGUGGAGUUUCGUGAAUAUCCAACUCGUUGCAUACCGAGCUUCAUUUAAUCAGUAGUAAUAAAUUAUGGUGCUUUUUCGGGCAUGCAUAACUAAACCGAUCAUGCAUCAUAUGUGUUGUGCAUCAUAUCAUGCAUUUGUUGUGGUGUUAUUGUGUGUUGAUUGUUGUUUCGGACUAUUUCUUCUCGAUAGAGUUCCAAACCUCUUAGGAGUGAGAGGAUCCGUUCGACUACAUUGGUUCGUCUGCUUCACGAAUUCGUUCUCAUUUCAAACGGGAUCACAUGCAAGAUAACCAUUUCCCUAGAUACCAUUACUAUCAACCAUGCUAGUUGUCUCAUUUCUUUUGCUAUGUCGCGUUGCCUACCACUAAAAUGUCAUCCUCUAAACAUUAGCAUGAAAACUUUUAACCUUUCUAAAACGUAGUAAACCAUUGUUUGGCUAUGUUACCGAUUGCUCAACCAUUGGAUAGAGUUGCUAGUUGCAGGUGCAGUUGCUUCCAUGUGACCACAUGGGUUUCUUGUUAUAUCAUCAUAUUUUUGCUAAAUAAUUUAAUGCACCUAUAUACUUGGUAAAAGGUGGAAGGCUCGGACUUUCUAGCCUGAUGUUUUGUUCCAUCUUUGCCGCCCUAGUUUCGUCUACCGGUCUUAUAUUCCAUAAUUGAGCGCUCCUAACACGGUCUAGUUUGUUAUGGGGACCCCUUGAUAAUUCGUUUUAGAUUAAGACUGAUCUGGCAAGGCCCAAAUUUGGUACUACAUUUGCCUAGUAACCUAAUAAAACUGCAUAGGGACUUUUCGGAUCCCGUGGAUAAAUAAACAACAACUCGGGCCAGUGCUCCUCACGAGUGUUGGUUCAAAACAGAGUUACUUGCGAGGCCACCCGGGGCAACUCGGAGGAUGUGCUCAUUCGGUCAUGUCCUGAGAAUGAGAUACACGGCUCCUAUCGGGUUUGGCCACACGUCGGGCGGCCUUGUUGGAUUAGUUCUACCUUCUACAAAAUAUCUUGUGAAUAGAGAUUCCGGCGAUGCUUUGGGAUAUCUCAGAGUUGAGGUCUUCCACUAAGGAAUAUGAGGAGAUCACGAGUUUCGUGAUCGAGGCUUUCUAUGUGGCUUGUCGUAAUUUGUGAUGGACUAGUUGGAGCACCCCCAUAGGGUUAAAUCUUUGGGAAAGUCGUGCCCGCGGUUAUGUGGCAACUUGGAAACUUUGUUUAACAUUCGGUUCUAGAUAACUUGAAGUAAACUUAAUUAAAAGAUGCCAAGUGUGUGCCUAAACGUGACUGUCUCUUUCAUGAGUUCCUUCUCCGACUGAGGACACAGUGGGGUUAUGUCUGACAUAAGUAGGUGUUCACGAUCAUUCAUUUGACCAUCAGUAGGUCACGUCCGCUAUGCGUAGAUCACUCCUCUUUAUUUUUGUACUCGUAAGUUAGCCACCUCAAAUAAAUGCUUAGUCGCUUGCUGCAAUCUCACCACUUAACCAUGCCUCACCCCAUUAAGCUUUGCUAGUCUUGAUACCUUUGGAAAUGAGAUUGCUGAGUCCCUGUGGCUCAUGGAUUACUACAAUACUAGUUGCAGGUAUAGGUAAAGUGACAUUAAGAUGUGAGCAUGAUGAUUACGCUAUUAGAGUUUCUUCUUCAUCAUCAUCGAUCUAGGUGGGGUUCUAGGCCGACAGCUUGGGAUAGCAAGGAUGGACGUCGUUCUUUUGUUGUUUUUUUUCGUCUGUAGUCGAAACCUGCUCUUCUACAUGAUGACUGAAUAUUGUUGUAAUGAUGUCAACUUGAUUUAGCUUGUGGCGAGUGUAAGCCAAUUCUAU